rnacentral:rRNA from 1 species
GGGGGAAACCCUGACGCAGCAACGCCGCGUGAGUGACGAAGGCCUUCGGGUCGUAAAGCUCUGUCAGAUGGAAAGAAUUAGUUCGCUGAAAAUAUUGGCGAGUGAUGACGGUACCAUCAGAGGAAGCACCGGCUAACUCCGUGCCAGCAGCCGCGGUAAUACGGAGGGUGCAAGCGUUGUUCGGAAUUAUUGGGCGUAAAGCGCGUGUAGGCGGGAAGACAGGUCAGUUGUGAAAUCCCUUGGCCUAACCAAGGAACUGCAUCUGAAACCAUUUUCCUCGAGUACGAUAGGGGAGGGCGGAAUUCCCAGUGUAGAGGUGAAAUUCAUAGAUAUUGGGAGGAACACCAGUGGCGAAGGCGACCCUCUGGAUCGAUACUGACGCUGAGACGCGAAAGCGUGGGUAGCAAACAGGAUUAGAUACCCUGGUAGUCCACGCUGUAAACGAUGUGCACUAGGUGUUGGAGGUACUUAAUCCUCCAGUGCCGCAGCUAACGCAUUAAGUGCACCGCCUGGG